rnacentral:rRNA from 1 species
UACGUAGGGUGCGAGCGUUAAUCGGAAUUACUGGGCGUAAAGUGUGCGCAGGCGGCCGAGCAAGUCGAGUGUGAAAAGCCCCCGAGCUUAACUUGGGAACUGCGCUCGAAACUACUUGGCUGGAGUGUGGCAGAGGGAAAGGUGGAAUUCCACGUGUAGCGGUGAAAAUGCGUAGAGAUGUGGAGGAACACCGAUGGCGAAAGGCAGCCUUCUGGGCCAACACUGACGCUCAUGCACGAAAGCGUGGGGAGCAAACAGG